rnacentral:rRNA from 1 species
CCUACGGGAUGCAGCAGUAGGGAAUCUUCCACAAUGGGCGAAAGCCUGAUGGAGCAACGCCGCGUGGGUGAAGAAGGUCUUCGGAUCGUAAAACCCUGUUGUUAGAGAAGAAAGUGCGUGAGAGUAACUGUUCACGUUUCGACGGUAUCUAACCAGAAAGCCACGGCUAACUACGUGCCAGCAGCCGCGGUAAUACGUAGGUGGCAAGCGUUAUCCGGAUUUAUUGGGCGUAAAGGGAACGCAGGCGGUCUUGUAAGUCUGAUGUGAAAGCCUUCGGCUUAACCGGAGUAGUGCAUUGGAAACUGGGAGACGUGAGUGCAGAAGAGGAGAGUGGAACUCCAUGUGUAGCGGUGAAAUGCGUAGAUAUAUGGAAGAACACCAGUGGCGAAAGCGGCUCUCUGGUCUGUAACUGACGCUGAGGUUCGAAAGCGUGGGUAGCAAACAGGAUUAGAUACCCCUGUAGUC